rnacentral:rRNA from 1 species
GACGAACGCUGGCGGCGUGCUUAACACAUGCAAGUCGAACGGUGAAGCUCCAGCUUGCUGGAGUGGAUCAGUGGCGAACGGGUGAGUAACACGUGAGCAACCUGCCCCAGACUCUGGAAUAAGCGCUGGAAACGGCGUCUAAUACUGGAUACGAGAUCAAGCCGCAUGGUUAUGGUCUGGAAAGUUUUUCGGUUUGGGAUGGGCUCGCGGCCUAUCAGCUUGUUGGUGAGGUAAUGGCUCACCAAGGCGACGACGGGUAGCCGGCCUGAGAGGGCGACCGGCCACACUGGGACUGAGACACGGCAGAGACUCCUACGGGAGGCAGCAGUGGGGAAUAUUGCACAAUGGGAGAAAGCCUGAUGCAGCGACGCCGCGUGAGGGAUGACGGCCUUCGGGUUGUAAACCUCUUUCAGCAGGGAAGAAGCGAAAGUGACGGUACCUGCAGAAGAAGCACCGGAUAACUACG